rnacentral:rRNA from 1 species
GCAAGUCGAGCGGAAACGGCAUUAAAGAUCCUUCGGGUGAUUUAAUGGACGUCGAGCGGCGGACGGGUGAGUAAUGCUUAGGAAAUUGCCCGGUAGAGUGGGAUAACUAUUGGAAACGAUAGCUAAUACCGCAUAAUAUCUUCGGAUCAAAGUGGGGGACCUUCGGGCCUCAUGCUACCGGAUAUGCCUAAGUGAGAUUAGCUAGUUGGUGAGGUAAAGGCUCACCAAGGCGACGAUCCGUAGCUGGUCUGAGAGGAUGAUC